rnacentral:lncRNA from 1 species
GGGUACGCCGUCAUCCACAGGGAGUGGUCCUCUUAAUUCUUUUUAGACUAGAUGGGGGGAGAAACAUAAACCCCUUAGAGAUAAAAAGCCUAACAAAAACACUUUAUGAAUUAUACAUACCAAUGCCAAUACAUUUUUCUCAUGUCUAUACAUCAUUUCAUGCCUAAUCAUUUUUCCAUCAUCAUUUAUAUCAUAUAUCAAUGUUUUUCUUAAGCAUUAAAUCAUUUUAACUACACAAGCAAAUUUAUAA